UACGUAGGUGGCAAGCGUUGUCCGGAUUUAUUGGGUUUAAAGGGUGCGUAGGCGGGUAAGUAAGUCAGUGGUGAAAUCUCCGGGCUUAACUCGGAAACUGCCGUUGAUACUAUUUAUCUUGAAUAUCAUGGAGGUAAGCGGAAUAUGUCAUGUAGCGGUGAAAUGCUUAGAUAUGACAUAGAACACCGAUAGCGAAGGCAGCUUACUACAUGUUAAUUGACGCUGAGGCACGAAAGCGUGGGGAGCAAACAGG
rnacentral:rRNA from 1 species